rnacentral:lncRNA from 1 species
CAAUACCAUGAUAUGAGAUGAUUCUUGGCUAAAAUGACUUGAAACAUGUUUGCACUCUUCACACCAUGAAAGAAUUUACAACGAGCACUGAUGCUAGAAAUGUCGUCAAAUUAUGCUUCAAUUAAGAUGCACUCAACUGAUUUGCUGCUUUGCAACACAAAUGUUUAUGGUACCACAUGAUCAGGUGAUGAUUUCUCGAACUAGCCAAUCCAAACUGGGAUAUGCAAAGUACAGAAUUAGAAAAGAUGGG